AUUGAACGCUGGCGGCAUGCUUUACACAUGCAAGUCGAGCGCCCCGCAAGGGGAGCGGCAGACGGGUGAGUAACGCGUGGGAACGUACCCUUUGCUACGGAAUAGCUCCGGGAAACUGGAAUUAAUACCGUAUGUGCCCUACGGGGGAAAGAUUUAUCGGCAAAGGAUCGGCCCGCGUUGGAUUAGCUAGUUGGUGGGGUAAUGGCCUACCAAGGCGACGAUCCAUAGCUGGUCUGAGAGGAUGAUCAGCCACAUUGGGACUGAGACACGGCCCAAACUCCUACGGGAGGCAGCAGUGGGGAAUAUUGGACAAUGGGCGCAAGCCUGAUCCAGCCAUGCCGCGUGAGUGAUGAAGGCCUUAGGGUUGUAAAGCUCUUUCACCGGAGAAGAUAAUGACGGUAUCCGGAGAAGAAGCCCCGGCUAACUUCGUGCCAGCAGCCGCAGUAAAAC
rnacentral:rRNA from 1 species